rnacentral:rRNA from 1 species
UACGGAGGGUGCGAGCGUUAUCCGGAUUCACUGGGUUUAAAGGGUGCGUAGGUGGGAAUGUAAGUCAGUGGUGAAAUCUCCGUUGACUUAACACGGAACUGCCAUUGAUACUAUGUUUCUUGAAUUUUCUGGAGGUUAGCGGAAUAUGUCAUGUAGCGGUGAAAUGCUUAGAUAUGACAUAGAACACCGAUUGCGAAGGCAGCUAACUACAGGGAUAUUGACACUGAGGCACGAAAGCGUGGGGAUCAAACAGG